AUAAGUUACGGAGGAAAUUUUAUAUGAAGUUGGAUGAAGAAAAAAGAGAGAAUAUUACAGGCUGCAGAUCAAGGUGUUAUAUGAUGGGAGCAAUACGGUUUCAAUAUAAACGUGCGGAAAGCAAAGCUUAUAAACAUAAGCAAGAAUAAGAUAACAGAAAAUCAACUCUACGAUAACGAAACCCCCCUAGAAAGAGUGAGGCACUUCAACUACCUCGACACCAUAAUGAACGAAGAAUGGACCAACAACCCAACAACUAUGAAAUAAGAGCGCGCAUUGGAAAGUCUAGAUCCACCUUCAGUCGUAUGAGAACCUUCUUCAAGAGUCAAAACCUAUCACUUUGUAUAAAAGACCUACUCUUCACAACCCAAUAGGUCCCCAUAACGCUCGA
rnacentral:lncRNA from 1 species